GACGAACGCUGGCGGCGUGCUUAACACAUGCAAGUCGAACGGUGAAGCCCUUCGGGGUGGAUCAGUGGCGAACGGGUGAGUAACACGUGCGCAACCUGCCCCUGGCUCUGGGACAACCACUGGAAACGGUGGCUAAUACCGGAUACGACCCGCCUCGGCAUCGAGUGUGGGUGGUUAGUUUUUCGGCUGGGGAUGGGCUCGCGGCCUAUCAGCUUGUUGGUGAGGUGAAGGCUCACCAAGGCGACGACGGGUAGCCGGCCUGAGAGGGCGACCGGCCACACUGGGACUGAGACACGGCCCAGACUCCUACGGGAGGCAGCAGUGGGGAAUAUUGCACAAUGGGCGAAAGCCUGAUGCAGCGACGCCGCGUGAGGGAUGACGGCCUUCGGGUUGUAAACCUCUUUCAGCUCCGAAGAAGCGAAAGUGACGGUAGGAGCAGAAGAAGCACCGGCUAACUACGUG
rnacentral:rRNA from 1 species